CAGAGUCACGCCACAGGAGGGGAAGGGUUGCUGUCAAGCGAGGCAUCUUACGCAAAGGGAAAGGAAAGGGAAACACAUGGGGCCUCGUAAACAGAAACCGUAAGGAAUUAUCUACUGUCUCAUCUUAUUGACGAGAAGAAGACGGGUAUUUGGGGAUUUGAUGUCACAUGAAAGCCGCAUGCGAGGAAGCUGAACUAUAAAAAGUAGCAGUAUAAAUACAACGGAUCAGAAUAAAGAUCUUGCUUGGCAGGGUCCUCAGGAGCGUCACUUUGGUUCAAAUCAGAGAUCAUGAGGCAAACAAGGGGCGGAUGGAACAACAUCAGACCUGACAAAAAGAGCAAAGAUAAAAGAAGGAGGAAACUCUGAAGGAGCUGCACAGG